UACGAAGGGUGCAAACGUUGCUCGGAAUCAUUGGGCGUAAAGCGCACGUAGGCGGCUUCGCAAGUCGGAUGUGAAAGCCCCUGGCUCAACUGGGGAAGUGCACCCGAAACUGGAUAGCUUGAGUGCGAAAGAGGGUCGCGGAAUUCCCGGUGUAGAGGUGAAAUUCGUAGAUAUCGGGAGGAACACCGGUGGCGAAGGCGGUUGCCUGGAGCUUUGCUGACGCUGAUGCGCGAAAGCGUGGGGAGCGAUCCGG
rnacentral:rRNA from 1 species